CCUGCCUUUCUUCCCCAGGUGCACGUCACCCUCUGUGGCAGCCUGGGAUACGCACGAGCUCCUCAGGAGGGCGGCUCCGUGGAACACACAUCUGGAUGACAGGAGGGAGCCAGGAGCUGUGAGAAGAGGGGGAGCUGCCACCGCAAGAAUGCAAGGCCCACGGGCUCUACGAUGUGGGGGAGCAGCGGGCAUCUGAGGAAGGGGCGUCAGGGGCACAUGGCCAGCCCUCUUCACCCCACAGUCUGCCCCAGGCCAGCCCCACUAGGAGUGACCCAUUUUCUCCUAGCAGGAUUCCUUGCAUGGGGUGGCCUGGACCCAAAACUCCCGCUCUGAGGAUUCCCUGUCAACCACAGAGAAGGUUAACUCAAGUUUCUUUAUUUGGCCAUGAAAUUUUGGGGCAUCUCACGGUGCUUCUUGGGUCCACUGGAGAGCCCUGGGAGCU
rnacentral:lncRNA from 1 species